rnacentral:lncRNA from 1 species
CUGUAAAAAAGCAGUGAGGAUAGCUUCUGGAUUCUUUUGAGAAGCAGGUUCAGAGUUGAUAGGGUAGUAACAAGACCCCAUCUUUAUGACUGGCUCUGUACCCUGGGCUCUUGAAGGUGAACCAGCCUCUUUCUCAAACAGCCCUCAGACUGCUGUGUUGUCAUGCCUACCUGUUUACUUGGUGAAAACCAAAGCCGCUGCUCUCAUUAGGCCUUUUGGUCCCAGCUAGGAUCCUCCUUUCUCCAGCCUGUGAGAAACUGUUUCUUGGUCCCCAGGCCAAGCAGAUCACCCCCAUUAGACUUUUUCUGUAGUAUUUAGGUUGGGGGUGGUGGUACAGCAGCUGGUAUAAAGCCUGGAACAUAGUAAGUGCUGUCAUAAUGGUGGACACUUCAGGGAGGUAAGUUUCAGUUCAGAAAAUUUUUUUCCAUUGUAAAGGCUACAACAGGUUGUGAGGUUUUAAUCCUGGCUUUUCCCCUAACCCCCUUGUGGGCCAGCAUGGCUCCAGUGUUUCUGUCUACCCAUGACUGUUUAGAUACUAAUUCUGUUUAAUGUGUGGCCUACUCCCCUGGCUUUUUGUAACCCACUGAUUUCAUCAGAAUGCUGUCAAUACAC